CAAAUGGACACUACUUUGCCUUGCUCCCAGCUUCCGUAGACAGAUGCUUUGAUCCUUUGGAAUCCUCCACUAGUUUCAGUUUAAACGCAUCAAAUAGUAAACUCUAAACGUCGUCGUUUCGCUUGCUUCAUUCCUUCUCCGCCUUAACUUUUUUUCCAUUUUAGCUUCGUUCCUCGUAGCUCUCAGAAACAUACACCACCAGUCGAAAGAACAAAAUCUUUUCAUUUUUAAAUUUCAUUAUUUUAAUUAAAAAGUAUAUAAUUUAAAUAAAUAAUAAUUGUGAUGAGGGCGUUGAACUCGCGGCUGGUUCUGAUCGACAUCAACCGCUCAUGGCAAGCAUCUCGGCGAUUAAUCUCAGCCACCGCAACCGCUUUUUCAUCCGACUCAUCCUCCUCAUUCCGUCGAACACAUGGAGCGCGUCAGAGAAUCUCUUCAUCCAAGUCUCCGGCGUCUCCGUUCCCGAUCCGGAGGCCGUCUGAUGGAUUCAGUUUCGAUAUAGGUACUUGAAGCUGAUCUCCUUCAAGUAGCUGAAGUUAUGGGGCUAGAAGAAGACAUGAUGAUGUUGGAGAAGCAGAUGUCAAUUCUAGCCUCAAGUUCUGAACUGAAACAGAGAAUCCAUCAAUCCGUCGUCUUGGUAAAUAAUGUGUUAGUUAUUGUUACUCAUUUGCAAUGUAUGUUACAACAGCAGUGCUCUGUCUCCUUGUGCAACCUGUAAAUAUAUCUUUUACUCUUUUGCAUUUAUAAAAUAUAUUUUAUCAA